rnacentral:misc_RNA from 1 species
AAAUAUUUAUAAAUUGUUAAUUUAGAACACAGUAACUUUAAACUUCAAAUCGCUCUCCUCUACGCCUACGCACAACAUAGUAUUAGCAGGUACAACUCUAUUAAAGAUUACUAUACACCUUUACGACACAGAAAGGUUACAUGGUACAACUCUGCGGAUACUUCAACAAUCUGUAUACUUGCCUAAGGAUUGUUUGAGCUUCUUAUCCCAGACGGAGAAAUAAUGCAAGCCUUAACCUCGUAUGGUGAUUUAACCGAGCCGUUCUGCCUCCCAUUUCCUGAGAGAAGUCGAAACUUCAUGAGCCUGAUGAACUUUGAUCUCAGAAAGACUGGGGUAUUUUGGAAUCCGAACAAAGGGGCAAGCUUAUGCUGUCAUAUUCAUCCUGCAGUCUCAUCCCUAUUGUGUCACCUAACAUGCAUCAAGCUGCAUCACAUCUAGCCAGUGUAUGGCUAGUAUUUUUAUCUUCCUUAACUUAUGAACAUCAGACUGAAUCACUUGGCUCCAGCGUAGUGUCAUGGCUCCUAUUUCUUGAGAUGCUGUCGUGGUCAAUUUUAUCACUUUUAUCUUCAUUAGACAAUCUAUGUUCCGUUUCUUCUGGAUCCUGCAUAGUGUCAUAACUUCUAUUUGUUGAGGCGAUAUCGUGGUUAACGUUAUCACUUUCUUCUUCAUUAGACGAUCUGUGUUCCGUUUCUUCUCUGGGUUCUGGCUCUGAAUUUGAUUGACCUACUUGAGAAUCCCCACAACACUCAGAGCUGCUCUGGUGAGAUGUUUCAUCGGCAUCUUGUUCACUAGAAGUACUCUCAGUAGUUUCUGAGCUCGUAUCAGGUAUUUCAGUGCAAGCAUUAGUUGGAGCAAGGAUUGAUUGGCG